GUGGAUUAGAUACCCUGGUAGUCCACGCCGUAAACGAUGAUGACUAGCUGUCUGGGCGCUUAGCGUUUAGGUGGCGCAGCUAACGCGUUAAGUCAUCCGCCUGGGGAGUACGGCCGCAAGGUUAAAACUCAAAGAAAUUGACGGGGGCCUGCACAAGCGGUGGAGCAUGUGGUUUAAUUCGAAGCAACGCGCAGAACCUUACCAGCGUUUGACAUGUUAGGACGGUUUCCAGAGAUGGAUUCCUUCCCUUACGGGACCUACACACAGGUGCUGCACGGCCGUCGACAGCU
rnacentral:rRNA from 1 species